AACGGCUAUACCAUGCUGAAUAUACCAGUUCUCGUUAGAUCACCGAAGUCAAGCAUCAUUGGGCGCGGUCAGUACUUGGGUGGGAA